GACGUAGGUGGCGAACGUUAUCCGGAAUUAUUGGGCGUAAAGGGUGCGUAGGCGGCAUGAUAAGUUAUUGGCGGCAAAUCGAGGCUCAACCUCGUGGAAACUGAUAAUACUGUCUUGCUUGAGUGCAGAAGAGGUUAACGGAACUCCAUGUGGAGCGGUAAAAUGUGUAGAUAUAUGGAAGAACAUCAAUAACGGCGAAGGCAGUUAACUAUUCUGUUACUGACGUUGAGGCACGAAAGCGUGGGGAGCAAAACGG
rnacentral:rRNA from 1 species